AAACCUCUGUUUAACCUAGACGAAAGGCCUCAGCUGCAGGAAUCACCAAGUACCGAACCUGUACAUGGUCUAGGCUUUUUGCAGGGGAGGAGCCAGACGGGGCAGCAACUCCAACGCCUUUACGGUCAGUGGGUACCUUGACACCGUCCAUCACAAUGCUGUCUGGGCACACAGACAGGCAGAGGAAUGGGAAGUGCCACUGGGUGCGUCUGGGUGCUGCAGUCACCGACGUAAGGAGUGUGGGGACCAGCAAUCUCCAAAGGGAAGAGCAAUGAGGUACCACUGAGUCAGAUGGGGUGAAAUACGAUUCUUGCAUGCUUGCUCAGUUCAUGACCUCAAGAAAGAAAAGAAGAAAAUUCAUUCACAACAGUGAACAAGUUCUUGGAUUCAGGAACUGAGCUGAUGACACUAAGAUAGAAAAAACUGUGGAAUUCUGACUGUAGAAAGCUUAUAAUAGAUACUAAUUUCACAGUCUUCAAAAGAAAAUAUCAGCCUCAUUUCUUCCAGCUGGCAUUACAACAGCUGUAACCAAAAAUAACAGUCAAAAAGGGAAAAGGAGGCUGAGAAGCAAAAUGCAGAGGCGAUAACUGCAAAAGUUAAAAAGAAGCCCAAAAGGAAGCAAAGGCCAGCAACACUGCCAUAAUGGCAGUAGUAACUCUGCUUUUUAACUCUCUGGGAAACACUUAAGCAAGAAGAUGAUGAAUCCUUGGAUAGAAAACCAGAUACACUCGCCUAACUACGCUGCUGCAGGUCCCCAUUCUGUGUGUGCUGCAGCAUUGCUUACCGCCUGCACAUCUGCGGCUUGCUCUGCAAAACUGGAACAGCACUGACAUCAGCCCUUUUUCCUAUUGGUGAUGCAAAUGUUCAGGUGCUGGCUCAGUGCCCUUGGCAGCUAAAGUUGCCCACAGAAAAGAUGCCACAUUAGCCUCUACCACGGGAGGUUUCUUAAACUACCUGAUUUCACUGUGCCUCUAGGCUGACCCAAAGGAACUGUUCCUACAUGUGAGAGGACUGUGACUGCUGGGACUCCAGGAACUCCAGGAAGUGCUUACACAAACAUAUCGCGAACAGUGCUGCUCUGCUCUGACACCACCAUUCCUCCUUUUCUCUUCUUCUCCGCAGCUGUCUGUUUGCAGGGAGCCCCUCUGAAGGACCAGCUCCCCACAUUCCUGGGCACAUGCCUGGGCAGGUGGAGGCAAGCCUGUUCCUCCCAGCAAGCCAUGGAGCUGCACCAGCAUGCUGCCCAGUCCAGUCUAAUGAGACCCAGGGAGAGGACAUUUCCCAGUGUUAGCACCUGGCUGCCUUGAGAUCCCUAGGAGUAUUUAUAAAUACUUGAUAUGGGUCUUGGUCUUUGCAUGGGUCCUUAGGCUGGUGCUCCAAAAUAACUGGUACGAAGCUUCAUUCUGCUUGAUUUACCGGCAAAGAUGCCAAUCCACAUCAACUUUCAUAGUGCCCUGCUUCAGGUUUUAUUCACACUGCUGUGUGAAGAACAGGACUGCUCAUAAAAAAGGCAACACUACAUCUACAUUCCCUUUCCUCGUCCUAUAUCUUCACAGCCCUAUCAGAGUAUGCCAGAGAAACCAGCCAUAGAACUAUCAACGUGUUUGUACCCUUUGAUGCACCAGGCAAAAAAGAAGAAAGAAAAAAGAUAUCUGUUUUAUCCCUUAGAAUUCUAACAGCUUCUUUCUGUCUAUGAAAAUAACAAAUACUUGCUUUGAAAUGAAGUCUAUCAGCUGAAUAUUAAUGGGAAGCACUUCUGCAGACUAGUAUUUAGUCUGCAGAGUAAAGGUAAAAAAAUAAAACCAUCCACCCAAUUACCUCCUAGCAGACAGACUGCUUUGCACAGCUCUGUGCACAUCUUUACUUCUGAGGCUGCCGAAGGGGCCAGCCACAGCACUCGAAGGUAGCCACUGUUAUCCCUGCCUUUGGAAAGGCCUGCCUGUGAAUGUUGCAUUACAAUAACAGUUGCCACGAUUAUUCCUGAACAAACAGCAGAUAAUGCAACUUGCUUUUGGGCAAGGAAGAUCUGUUCAGAGGGACGCCUAAUGCUUUAGAUAAAAAUGUGUAUCAGAUUGUUUGACACCAGUUUAAUACUCAGAAUUCUAGAGCAGGCCCUAGCUGUUAUUUUAAUACCAUUCCUAUACAUUUCCCUGCAGUGUCCCAGCAUCACAGCCUUGAUGGCUGCAUCACAGUGAUGAUGGCACAAUCCUUUCUGCCUGUGGCUCUCUCCCAGGUUACAGCUUGGAAGAAAUGAACUCCUUCCACUGACAACUUCUUCCUCUUUUCAGGACUACCAUUUUCCAAACAAAGCCUUCUGCUGCCAGCUAAUACAAGUAACAGAGCUGGGACCUCUGUUGUGACUGCCAGUGCAUUGAGCUGUACCAACCAUCUGCCUUAUAGGAAGGCAGACCUGUUUGAAAUUCCCAUAGAUGAACAGUGCUAUUAUUGUUGCUAAUUAAUAGUAGGCAAGGACACAAUACCAUUCCAAAUGAAAUUUAGUCCCAAUCAAAAAAGUCAAGUGUGCUUUCUAAUUGAUUAAAUUUUAAAAUCAAUCAAUCUGGUUAUGUAUGUGUUUUCACAAGAUACAACAGCUUACUGAAACCUGUCCUUCUAGUGAGACUAAGAUUGAAACAGAGCUUUUGUUUUUUAAUAGAAUUGAUUUUUUAAAGGAAGAUCUAUUUUAAUUAGAAUUGCAUAGCAAGUUUUGUCAAGCUUAUGCUCCCCUAGAAGUUUAUUAUGAAGCUGUGCUGAAAGAAAGAUGCUCUAUGCGUUUACUCUUUCCCAAAGGGCUAGAUGAAGUUAAAAUGAACCUCUGUGCCUGCUAGCACAUACAGACCCCAUGGGCCUCCUAAAUUCCUACUCUGCAAAGGCAGCUUCAUACUGAGAAAAGGAAAUAUCAUCUCCUUUCUUCAGAAUGGCAGAUUAAGUUUUCCCUGGUUCCCUCUUUCUGAGCAUCAGAGUCUCUAACAUAACAUAUAUGGAUGCUAAAGAGCCCAGAUGGCAGCUUCAGCUUUAAAUUAAUAACAUUAGCAGUCCAGUCAGAUGGGGAAUGAUAUACAGUUGUUUUGCUGGUUCACUCCCAUCCCUUCUGUGUGUUACACUAAUAGUUUAAUUUAGUGCUGCUGAUUUUCUUUUUACCCAAGUUUCUAGAAACUGUUUUUAAACAAUAGGUGCUUGUGUUUGGCCCCAACUUAUAAAGAGGGUCAUUAUAGUGAGCUAGGUGGGUAGACACUACUCCUUGUUUCAGACUGUUGCAAUUAAAUUCUUGGAAAGCUCUUACUGAUAAUACUGGGGUUAUGUCUUUCAUUACUACAGAGAAGAGCUAUUGAAAAGGUCUGAGCCUCCAGAUUCCUGGGAUCUUGGUAGCUCGUGACUGUGUUUCAACAGUAGGUUACUCUAUGUCAUGCAGUAUGAGUGAAGGAAUCCCAAAUAAUAAUGAUCAUAGAUCAGUGAAAAUCAGUAAAAUGGGACAUGCAACAAUUACAAGAGUGGUGGAAAUUUAAACCUCUGAAAGACAGCCCAUCUGUAGCUCAAUGAGUGCAUCUUUGGAAAAACAAAGCAACAUUGAGCCAAACAGCCAUUCAUCAUUAAGAAAUUACCAUCAAAGUGAUGAGGUUUUGGUAUCAGAACCUACAAAACUUUCGAUAAAGCCACAGCAUGUUAUUCCCAGCAAAAAACAAAUCCACAUUUCAUUCAGGCUGAACAAUGCAGCUGAUGGUGUCUUGGGCAGAACCAACGUCAAACCCUUUGGGACCUACACAAUGGAAAGAAGGCCUUACACUGAUACCUCAAAGAGGUCUCCCCAUUAUUUGUGCCCUGUACAGUUGUCCCUGUUUCCUGGUCCCUUAAAACCGAGUCAAGUGGUUUUAGUUAGUAAACAAUGAAUAAAUACAAUAUACAAUAUUUUUUUCUCAUUAUUUCCUUAUGUUCCCAAGGGGUGGUUAAAACUGCUGGUGAAUGACAGAACAUCUAUCUCUUUCUUGUUAUUUCAUUCUAAAUUUGAGGAAAGAGAGUAGUUACCUUUGGCAUAUGUUAUAUUUCAGUGUUCCCACUGAGGUAACAUCUCUUUGGUGUGUGUCUUAAGGACAUGUUCCCUAGGGACUGUAUUUUAUUGUGGGUCCUGUGAUUUCAAUGCAGCUUCAAGACACACCCUCCAAACCAUAUUUUCCUCUCUGAAGAAUAUACCUAUCAGUCAAUAACCUCUCUCCUCAAUCCUUGCUUGUAAAGGAGGCGGAAAACUCGUUAAAAUCUUCUUGAACUGUCUAUGUUUUCUUUGACUAAAUUGUAUUUGCCACUGUAAAGCCCUGUCGAUUAAUCUAAUAGAUCUUUUGUUCUUUCCACAGACUAAUGUCUUACUUUUUAUCUUAUCUUCUUGUGCAAUCCUCUCUUAAGUCUAUUUAAAUAUCCUGUAAGCUUUAUAGCAUUUUGUAAAAUCUUCAUUCUUUUGCGCCCUAAGUUACAGUUUGGGUUAAAUCACACAAGCUCUCAGCAACUACCAGCAACAAACCAGUCCCUUACCCCUAGGGUGGUGUUUGGCCCAAAGAUGACAAGUGUUAAAUGUAUUUGUCACUCAGAAAGCUGACAUCAGAAUCAUUGGGCUAAAAGUGGACUCCAAUACACAACAGGACUGUGUAGGAAUAUAUAAAAUUUCCCUCUUUCUUUAGUAGAAAAAAUUCUGACACCACUUCUUGAUUCUCAUCUCUCCUCUGACUAGAGCCUUGGAAAGUCACUCUGGGUGCGAAGCUGCAAUAAAUCCUGAGGGUUUGCAGCAGAGGCAACAAGAAGACACGAAUAUCCCAGUGUGAUAAUGUGGUGGGUAAAGUGAGGGGGUAGGAGAAGCAGGACGUAAUGCUUCAUGAUGUAAGUUCUCCUCGGUCAGUGCCCUAAAUGUCAAAAAUCUCACCAGACAAUUUAAUAGAGAAAGCAAUCUGGCUUCAGAGCCACACGGUGGAGAGAAAAUCACAUCCCCCUGGAUAGUAGUCUUAAAUCAUGAUCUCAUAAUGUGCACUGUUCACACUGUACUGAAUAUCUAGGCUUUUUAGAAAUUUCCCAUCUGCAUAUGGCAAUUUGCUUGUUGAUAUUUAGACAUGAUUGACAUAAUUCAACAAUCUGGCUUAUUAGUUUGCUUUGUAACUAUGUAAAAUGCUGACAAUGAUCAUCCCAGCUGACUGAGGACAUGCUUCCUACGACACAGUAAACAAACGUAGCAAAGGAGGCUUUUUUCCAAAUGAUUGCUCCAACCCCCUAAUGAGAAUGUUAUCUUACUUCAUCAGCUCUGCACUAUACCACAAUUCUUAAUGAAUCCUCAAGUCACACAGCUCCAUUUCUUGAGCCUGGGGUACAGUAGCUAGAAUUGUAUGCCCAUGGUCUUUUCUCCCAUCUUUAGCUGCAUUCUGAAUUAUGAUGAACCCAUUUAUUACAUUGUCUGUGAAAACACAUUUCUUUGAAACAGAAAGUAUUUCUGAAAUUUGGAUUCAAAAUCUACCAAACUCCUUAGAGGAGUGCUUCUUCCUAUAAAUCACUGCUUCUUAAUGGAAAGAAUCUGAUGAAAGAGUGAGUAAUGAUAGUAAAAAAAAAUAAGAAUAAAUCAACCUGCUCGUUAACCUGCUUGCAGAGUAAAUUCUCUGUGCUCUGAAGGCCAGGAUUUAAGACAGUUCCUCUAAAUCAAAGGAUUCUUUCUGAUGAAUCCUGUUCUCCAGCUUCCUUCUGUAAGUUAUGUUUGGGUAGUCAAUGGCCAUUUGUAGUGGAUGUUUUUCAGUUGUUCACACACAUUAGCACUGAUUUAUUUAGAGAAAAUAACACACGGUAUUCCCAGGGGAAAAAAAUCAUUACUUUAGUUUUGGUGCAUCUAAUUACAAUAAGUCUCUAUCAUACUCACCAUCUACCCUAAUUAUCUGGGGAGCUGACAGUGUUUAACAAUGAAGGAAAGAGUGCUCCAGUGUCCAAUUAAGGUUUUCUUUGAGGAUUAAUAAGUUAUGUCUCAUCAGCCGCACUGACCCAGAGGUGCUAAUCUUUACUUUAUCACACUAAUCUUAAAGCAAAAUUCUGCAGAUCAAGAGUAGCAGAAUGGUAAGUUAAUUGUUCCAUUAGGCUGAUGAAGACGUUAUAUCCAUGUCCAAUAAUACACUAUUCCCUGCACUUCAUUACAUGCUCUGCUAUAGAUCAGAAAACAAAUGGUAAAAAGCCUGCCAUAGCCACUUGGAGCAGGUGACCAGUAGCUUGGACUCCGCUCCAUACUUAGCUGCAGGUUGUUUUGAUAUGACUGUUUAUGCUACAUGCACAUAAUAGUUUAACACACUCAGACAAUCAUAAACAGUUAGGAGAGGUUUUUAGCACAUCUAAAUUCAGACUCAAAAGGAAAUAAAUCAUGUAGUCAAUAAUAGAAAGAAGACUUAACAGUUAUCUGCCCUGUAAACAAUAUCCUUGAUUAGAAAGCAUACACAGUACUGUUUUUUUAAAGGCAACAAUUCAGGUAUUUUCACCAGGAAGAGUUUUUCUCAUUUACAAGCAUCCAACAAUCAUGGAGAGCAAGGCAAAUUGAGUUAAAAUAUGCUCCUAACCAUUACAAUAAAUUAGAAAUCAAAUUUUAACUGUCUUCCCAGUCGAUUUGUAUUUGCUUUGUUUCCAAGUAAUCAGGCAGGUUAAAUUCUUCUGGAAAAAUGCUCACAAAAAGUACUAUCCCCACAGGAAAAAUACUUUUCAUAAUCAUUGCUUUGCAAACAUUUCCUCUUCAUGAUCUGACUUAGGCGGGAAAGGAAAUGUGAAUUGAUACCUUUCAGGGCAUGAGUCACAUACUUGUGUCACUGAACAAAGAGAAGGCGAGAAAGACAGGAUCAAAGCCAGAAUAAUUUCACAGAGGUGGGUAGAGAGGAAAAGGGAGAAGGGCUGGAUUUGUGAAAAUGUUUUGAAUGUAUAAUCCUUUUUCCCAUUCACACAAUAUUUCCUUCCUCGUUUCUGUCUCUCUUUCUUCUAAACAAACCAUAAAUCUCUGCUUUCCUUCUCACCACUCAGUCACGCCCUCAUGGCAAUGCUACUCAGACACACUCUUCCUGCUUCCAGGGGUGGGAGACUAAAGACGCUGAGUUAGAUUCAAUAGGACAGGAGCAUGUGUUUGAAAUAAGGCAAGUGUUAAAAGAGGGAUAAAGAAUUGGAUUAGAGGAGAGAAAAAUAUUUUCUUUCUUUCUUUCUUUCUCUUGCCUCCAAAAUGUAAGUCAUAUAUUAUUUGCUGAAACUCAGGUAAAGUCUUUUCUUUUACACACUGAAUUCAUCCUGAAUCCAACACCUGAACAAGCAAAGAAAACAUUAAACAACACAACUGUUAAUGUUCUUUAUAAAGAUAUCUCAGAGAAAGUGGAGCUUUUGGACAGCUUUCUCAGACAGCAGCUAUUUCAUUCAUAUUGUUAUUUCUUUUUUUUGCAUCUUGAAGAUAAUUCAAAAAGAUUCCUUCUAAAAUAAAAGCUGAUAAGGUA